rfam:Gammaproteobacteria bacterium RIFCSPHIGHO2_12_FTLL_38_14 rifcsphigho2_12_scaffold_623, whole genome shotgun sequence.
GGAGGGGUUCCCGAGCGGCCAAAGGGAUCAGACUGUAAAUCUGACGGCUUACGCCUUCGAAGGUUCGAAUCCUUCCCCCUCCA